ACGCACGCUGGCGGCAGGCCUAACCCAUGCAAGUCGCGCGAGGACUUCGGUUCUAGCGGCGGACGGGUGAGUAACGCGUGGGAAUGUGCCCUUCUCUACGGAAUAGCCCUGGGAAACUGGGAGUAAUACCGUAUACGCCCUAUUGGGGAAAGAUUUAUCGGAGAAGGAUCAGCCCGCGUUGGAUUAGGUAGUUGGUGGGGUAAUGGCCUACCAAGCCGACGAUCCAUAGCUGGUUUGAGAGGAUGAUCAGCCACACUGGGACUGAGACACGGCCCAGACUCCUACGGGAGGGAGCAGUGGGGAAUCUUAGACAAUGGGGGCAACCCUGAUCUAGCCAUGCCGCGUGAGUGAUGAAGGCCUUAGGGUUGUAAAGCUCUUUCAGCUGGGAAGAUAAUGACGGUACCAGCAGAAGAAGCCCCGGCUAACUCCGUG
rnacentral:rRNA from 1 species